UAGUCCACGCCGUAAACGAUGUCUACUAGCAGCUCGUCUCGUUAGAGAGGUUUUGCGCAGCUAACGCGUUAAGUAGACCGCCUGGGGAGUACGGCCGCAAGGUUAAAACUCAAAUGAAUUGACAGGGGCCCGCACAAGCGGUGGAGCAUGUGGUUUAAUUCGAUGCAACGCGAAGAACCUUACCAUCCCUUGACAUCCAGAGAAUUUACUAGAGAUAGUUUAGUGCCUUCGGGAACUCUGUGACAGGUGCUGCAUGGCUGUCGUCAGCUCGUGUUGUGAAAUGUUGGGUUAAGUCCCGCAACGAGCGCAACCCUUAUCCUUAGUUGCUAACAGUUAGGCUGAGAACUCUAAGGAGACUGCCGGUGACAAACCGGGAGGAAGGUGGGGACGACGUCAAGUCAUCAU
rnacentral:rRNA from 1 species